AUAUCAUUAUCGAGAUAACAAACAACAACUUUAUGGGGAACCGCCAGUAAUGAUUUGGUCCACAUGCACAGGUACACACGCCCGCAGUUAAUAUUCAAAAUAAUUCAAACGAGGUCGAAAUUAUUCCUUAACUAAACCCUCCAAUAAUCAAAUAACGUUACGGCUGAGUUAUGCAAUAAGAUUUCGUGUUUUGGCCGAGUUAUGAGAUACCAUAUGUUAUUAUGAUAUAUCAAACCAGCCACCAAAUUGUUAGUUAUAUUGGUAGCGUGAAGAUGUGCAAUUUCAAA
rnacentral:sRNA from 1 species